GAUGAAGAACGUAGCAAAAUGCGAUACUUGGUGUGAAUUGCAGAAUCCCGUGAACCAUCGAGUUUUUGAACGCAAGUUGCGCCCGAAGCCUUUUGGCCGAGGGCACGUCUGCCUGGGCGUCACGCAUCGCGUCGCCCCCCACAAUUCUCCGUAAAGGGAACCUGUGUUUUGGGGGCGGAUAUUGGUCUCCCGUGCUCAUGGCGUGGUUGGCCGAAAUAGGAGUCCUUUCGAUGGACGCACGAACUAGUGGUGGUCGUAAAAACCCUCGUCUUUUGUUUCGUGCUGUUGCUCGCAAGGUAAACUCUUUAAAAACCCCAAUGUGUCGUCUCUUGACGACGCUUCGACCGCGACCCCAGGUCAGGCGGGACUACCCGCUGAGUUUAAGCAUAUCAAUAAGCGGAGGA
rnacentral:misc_RNA from 1 species